UACAGAGGGUGCAAGCGUUAAUCGGAAUUACUGGGCGUAAAGCGUGCGUAGACGGUUGCGUAAGUCAGAUGUGAAAGCCCCGGGCUCAACCUGGGAAUUGCAUUUGAGACUGCGUAGCUAGGGUGCGGAAGAGGGAAGCGGAAUUUCCGGUGUAGCGGUGAAAUGCGUAGAUAUCAGGAGGAACACCGGUGGCGAAGGCGGGUCUCUGGGCAGUAACUGACGCUGAGGAGCGAAAGCGUGGGGAGCGAACAGG
rnacentral:rRNA from 1 species